rnacentral:rRNA from 1 species
GUCAGCUCGUGUCGUGAGAUGUUGGGUUAAGUCCCGCAACGAGCGCAACCCUUGUUCACUGUUGCCAGCACGUUAUGGUGGGGACUCAGUGGAGACCGCCGGGGUCAACUCGGAGGAAGGUGGGGAUGACGUCAAGUCAUCAUGCCCCUUAUGUCCAGGGCUUCACGCAUGCUACAAUGGCUGGUACAGAGGGCUGCGAUACCGCAAGGUGGAGCGAAUCCCAUAAAGCCAGUCUCAGUUCGGAUUGGGGUCUGCAACUCGACCCCAUGAAGUCGGAGUCGCUAGUAAUCGCAGAUCAGCAACGCUGCGGUGAAUACGUUCCCGGGCCUUGUACACACCGCCCGUCAAGUCAUGAAAGUCGGAAACACCCGAAGCCGGUCGCCCAACCACUUGUGGAGGGAGCCGUCGAAGGUGAAGCCGGCGAUUGGGACUAAGUCGUAACAAGGUAGCCGUACCGGAAGGUGCGGCUGGAUCACCUCCUUU